GCAUCAACCUUUUGGCGGUUUUGACUUGACGUCGACACACAAACUGCUGCCUCUGUUGCCUUUUCUCAUGACCUGUGUUUGAGAACUGUAUUCCGUCUUAUCCCCGCAGGUCGCUGCAAGCCGGAGAGUCGUGUGUGACUUGGGAUUCCAGACUUAGCUGACGUUUGGACGAGCCUCAGGGUCUGGAAUGUCCUGGCGAUGUGGAGGAGUAGGAGGAGGAGGUCCGGGCUACUCGGCUGUGUGUGGGCGGUGUUGGGAGUUCCUGCGGAGUGCGAGCGAGUUCUAUCUUUCUCACAGGCGUUAGCAAGAGCAAAGGUCAAAGACAUUCUCACAAAACUGGUUUUCACAGUGAUUUGCCAGAUAAUUUUAACAAAAUCUGAGAUCAUUGUGAAAACUGAUUUUGUCCCCUUGAGCAGCCCAAAGAGCAACAUUCGAUGCUCUGAACGGAUGGACAACCACGUCAUGAUUUGCCUCUAUGGAUCACGGCCGUACAGACCACAGAUGAUCCAUGGGCGUCACGACAUGAGGAUAGGGCAAGCAAGCUUUUUGGUGGAAAAGAUGCGUGCAAGUGCAAGGAAUAUUUGAAAUGACUCCAGGAGACCCCAGUUUGUUUUUGUACCAGGAUCAUCAUCACCCGGUGCCUUUCCGACUGGCGUGGGCGAUCAUGGACCUCCACUUCCAUCUGUCUUGCGUUGCAGCAAUGGUUUCUGUUGCUCUUGCUGCUCCCAGCCAUGGUGUCAACUUGUCCAGUAUCUUUUCCCUCUUUCAGUCUCUGCCUCUCUUUCCAUCAAACUUGCCUCAUGUUACAAUAUAUCUUUCCGCGUUGUAUGUCAAAUUAAAUUUGCCUGUCGCUUUCGUAUAUUCGUCAUAAGCUGUCGCACCAGGAUAAUUUGGCCUAAAAAUCCAAUAAAUUGACUCUGGACAUGUUAUAUACUGGGUGAUUCAAAAUGAAUACACCAAAAUCAUCAUACGAUAUUUCAACCCAAAAAAAAAGAAAUCAAUAGAAAACUCCAGCUUGGACACGUGUUGUACAUACCUUCAGGUUUUUUUUAUUUCAAGUUUUACAUUUGCUUAAUGUGGCCACCACCGGUUUUUGAUUUUUGAAAUAUUGUGUGAUAAUUUUGGUUUAUUCUUUUUGAAUUACCCUGUAUAUACAUAUGUAAUUUUAAGACCCCAUCGACACAUUCCGUUAAAGCUAAAGAUGAAAGUCCUAUUCUAUUCGGGUAUGUGGUGAAGCCCCUCCCUGUCACACGCAGAAGAGAUGAGUUCAAUUCCCGUGUGGUAAUUAUUUUUAUCGAGUACCGGUAUCUUGGUCUUUCUUCCAGGAAGUUGUAGGUAUCCCUCUUAGCUCGAGUUUGCCCUGGACAGGCAGUGUCAAAACCUGCCUCUUAUCUUAAAGUAUCUGAAUUGUGUCGAUAGGAGUGUAAAAUCUCCUACACAAAAUGGCCAAGUCCAGGCGUGGCGUUGACGUGACCAAAUUAUAGUGUCGAUUGCCCUUUUAAGAAAUACAAUACCCAAACAGAGGAACAAAACUGUUGCCUUUUAUGUUUCCUUUAUUGCUUGCUUUUUAAAAUAAUCUUUUUGAGAAAACGUGCAUUUUUCCUUCAAAUACAGAACGCUCGAACUACUCUUUUCAGAGGAAUAUGUAGUCUGAUUGCGCUCCAGAUCGGAAAAAACAUGUGUACAGUCGAAUGUGUGCUAACCGUAUAAGACAAUUACUUGUACAAAGGGCCACUUCCCAUUUUCUCUCUUGCCAACAUGUAUUUUUACAUUAUAACGACACUGAGUAAAAUGCCCAUCUGCCCUUGACAGCUACUUAUCUUCACGACAAUGGGUUGCCGCUUUGAACAAUUUAUACUGUAAUUUUUUUUUUUUAACUUUGCAACAUUUUGCUUUCGAGUCAUGAGCUCAUAACUUCCCUAUAUUCUGAAACCAUGGUGAUACAUUACGCCAAGUGUUUGCCUCUAUUUGACGUUCCAAGUCUUUGACAAAACAUUUUCAGUUUGUUUCUUUCAACACGGAUUUGUUAACGUCUCCUUCUGCAUUUGUCCAGAUGCUAUGCUCGGUUUACUACAUGUUAAUAAAAAACAGAAUAUGUCCAAUCCA